rnacentral:rRNA from 1 species
GACGAACGCUGGCGGCGUGCCUAAUACAUGCAAGUAGAACGCUGAAGGAGGAGCUUGCUUCUCCGGAUGAGUUGCGAACGGGUGAGUAACGCGUAGGUAACCUGCCUUGUAGCGGGGGAUAACUAUGGGAAACUAUAGCUAAUACCGCAUAACAGUAGAUGUUGCAUGACAUUUUCUUAAAAGGUUCAAUUGCAUCACUACCAGAUGGACCUGCGUUGGAUUAGCUAGUUGUUGAGGUAACGGCUCACCAAGGCGACGAUACAUAGCCGACCUGAGAGGGGGAUCGGCCACACUGAGACUGAGACACGGCACAGACGCAUACAGGAGGCAGCAGUAGGGCUUCUUCGGCAAUGGACGGAAGUCUGAGCGAGCAACGCGGCGUGAGUGAAGAAGGUUUUCGGAUCGUAAAGCUCUGUUGUAAGAGAAGAAAGAGUGUGAGAGUGGAAAGUUCACACUGUGACGGUAUCUGACCAGAAAGGGACGGCUAACUACGUG